UCUGUAAAGAUACUGAGGCUGGGGCUAGCUUUGACUGAUAUGGGGAGGGAGUUCCAGAGACGAAUGGUUCUAGGGAAAUAAGAGUUCUAUGUGCAGAAGUGAUGGCUGGAUACAGAAUUAUUUAUUAGUUGGACAACAGUGAAUACAGGUCACAGCAUGCUGAUAGAGAUCCUCAGCUCAUAUGGUAGCCAGGGUUUAGCAGUGAGCUGACUCAAAAGAUGCCAUUUAGUGAUUUAAUGUGGAUAAUCCAUUCAGAUCAUUCACCAAUGAUGUACAACACUGAUGGAACUGAAGGCAAUACUUGCACUGACAGUCAAGGCUGGUUAUUUAAAGUAUAUAUAAUUAGAUGUACCUCCUGAUGUACCUCCUUAAAUACGAGAUUUCUGCCAUGUGAAAGGAGCAAGUUGAAAGAAGCACUGUUGGAGAUGGGGUCCAUGAACCUUAUGUAUACAGCUAUAUGAACAAGGGCUGGAACAAAGCAGACAAGACUGGACUUUUAAUUGUUAAUGAAUAUUUUAAGUUGUAUUGUAUGUCACCAGUAUAAUAGGGUUAUUAUAAAAGUAGUUAGAUCUUGGAUGUGGUAUUUGGCUUGGAGUGCAUUUUGCCAGACCUGGAACACACGAGGCCUGCAAGCGCAAAGUCUGACCCGCUGUGGUAAAAUCGCCAAAGGCCUAAUACAACCUCCCAGAUCAAGCUACUGUUAUAAUCGUACUUUAAUUUUUUAUCUCCAUGUACUAAAAAUCAUUUCACAAAAAUACCCUAGCGUUACAGGCGAUAUAUUAAAUUUGGUACGCCUUUAAAGUUUAAAUUGAUGUUGUUGUUCUUGUUUAUACACAAUUGAUUACCGUGCCUUGUUUACAUGUGGGAUUUAUUGUUUGAAAAUGAAAUAAAAAUGUUUAAAAUGAAUAAGAAAAUGUCAUUAUCAAAAGCUUGCACUUUUAUGUUAAGGGAGUAGUGACAGGAAAUUUUCCAUUUUUUGUAGCUCAACCUGAUCACAAAGUGCUCAGGGGUGAGUAAUUGUUGUCACUCAUUGCAUGUCUAUCCGCCCGUCCAUACUUUUCUUAACCUACAUCUCUUAAAUCAUUUGGUGGCAGGCAGAUGAUGAAACUUGGCUUGGAUGUCCUCUGGAUAUUCCUGCCUUUCCCUAGGGAAAAACCUUGUCUAAAGUACUGUAACUAUUAUGACGUCAUAAACUAUAUAAAUUUUGUCAGGAAAACACAGAUCUAUUUGCCUCCAUGAUCUAAUUUUAACGUGAUGAGCAAGAAAAAUUAUCUAACAUGUCUGCAUGUGUAAGACAGCUGUUUCCCUAUCCUCGGGGCAGCUCGGAUAAUGCUUGGUUUUUCAUUCCACACUAUCCCUCGUGGUAUAGAAAAACCUGUCUUACAUCGGCAGGCAUGUAAGAUCCUUAUAGUCUUGUUAUGCAUAUUAUUGGUAUGCUCAGCUUCAGUGCUUUUCAGUGAAGUUCUAUUGAUUUGUUAUAUUUUAACUUGUUUAUACUACUUGCUGUAAACAAUUAGGCUGAAUUUCACCAAAUCUCGCAAGUGAUUAGUGUGGAGCAAAGUUGUGCAUAUUAUCUUCAUGUUCUAAUAAAUAAUUUUUAUCAGAGUCAUGACCCUUGAUUUGUCAGAAUCUUUGAUCUGUGCUACUUCUCCUAUAUCACACUAAGGGUUAAAAUGGCAUUUUUAGACAUUUUUUGUUUUUAUUAGCUCACCAGAGCCAAAGGCUCAGGGUGAGCUAUUAGGAUCACUCACCGUCCGUCAUCCGUUGUCCGUAAACUUUUACUUCAAACGACAUCUCCUCAU
rnacentral:lncRNA from 1 species